UUAGCUCAUAUUUGUAUGGAAUGGGAACGUUUGCCUACGUUUGCCACUAGGGGCGCUGUUCCAAUUGCAUAAAAAAAUUGGGUU
rnacentral:pre_miRNA from 1 species